rnacentral:rRNA from 1 species
CCUAAAUAAAUAGUUCUAUAACAAAACAAUUCGCCAGAGAACUACUAGCAACAGCUUAAAACUCAAAGGACUUGGCGGUGCUUUAUAUCCCUCUAGAGGAGCCUGUUCUAUAAUCGAUAAACCCCGAUAAACCUCACCAUCCCUUGCUAAUACAGUCUAUAUACCGCCAUCUUCAGCAAACAAA